UUGACCUCGGAUCAGGUAGGGAUACCCGCUGAACUUAAGCAUAUCAAAAAACGGGAGGAAA
rnacentral:rRNA from 1 species